rnacentral:sRNA from 1 species
UGAAAGUCCCAGACAGCAGCCAUGAAACGGACCGUGUUUACAUGGGAUAGUUCAUGGCUAUUGGAUAGGCUAACCUGUAUGAACAAGGAGAUCGACCGCUCGGAUUGUGAAUACAGGUGGCCAUUACGAGAGCACUAAAGUGCGGAGCAAUCGACUUUUA